UAACGAAAGAGUUGGACGUGAGUCAGGCAAGCAAAGCAAUUGUUAUCAUUCUCCUUCAGGCUAUCUCGAAAAAUUAUCUUAUGCUCGUUGGAGGAUUCACGACCGCCAGGCUGUCAUGUUUUCCCAUAGUUAACCACCAAAUAUUAAACGAGGCUUUCACCAUUUGCCUUGGGCUGGACAACGUGAAAACAAAAAAUUCCGGGAGAGACAGUCCGUGAUGGCAUCUUCCCAAAUGAUAGUAAUCUGCAAUUUUCCAGAUGAGAACCACACGAUGAAGUUGAAGACGACGCCCAUAUCCAGCAAUCAAGGCUAAACUUGUUCUGGCUUCUUUUUUUUUUUUCUUUUUUCUUCUUUACUCGCUGAGUAUUUUUAAAACGGCGAACUUCUUAUUUCGAAAUGAAUUCCUUAGCCUGAGGAUUUUGUUGCUGAGAAAUUAGCAUAGCAACAUUUUUGUCGCACUUUUUCAUCUUCUCAUGCAUGCCAGCAAUCCCCCAAGCUCUCCUAAUUCGCUGGUGAAUAAAAAAAGAGGAAGAAACACGUCUCGUUUGCAUAAUAUGCAGACAGAAAAAAAAAAUGAAUCGCGUCAUUUUGAAACGAGAAGGAAAUUCAAAGCUAUGAUUAAGCUUCAUCAUCUUCUGUUUACCCUUCAGGUCGAAUUGCCACUGUUAAAGAACGUUGGAAAUCAAGGAAAUCCUAAGCCCUAAUUUCGAAACCCGACAGCAGUAGGUUGGAAAUUCUAAACAAUUGUCAGCGGUUUCUCUGCAUCUACUGACAACCGGAGACACACAGAACAGUCGCAAUGGUUCAAAUGCCAACAUCUGACCUUUGCGGUCUUGACAAGGUAUGAACAAAAAAUUGAGAAACAACAAGUUGUUUCGAGGUUGCACAUCCUACACAAGGCAGCAAGAUUCUUUCUCGAAAGAAAAAAAAAACCUUUUAAAAGAAAAGGAGAAGACGCGUACGGUGGAAGGCUGAAUAAGAAGUGCAUUGGUACCUAUAGCCCUUUCAAACGUAAAGGUCAAGGUUCCUCCGCAACCGGUUGCUGUGCUGUGCGGAUGAGGAUCACACGCGUUUUCCCUUUCGUUACAUUACGACCAG